CGUAAACGAAGAUUAGAUGGGAAGAAAGAGGUGUUCUACUUCAAUACAGUGUGCAUAUUGACUGAUGUGUUGCUUGCCAUCCAGAGGCGGACGUUUUGAGUCCAUGUCAAAGCUUCUCUUUGAGCCAUCUAACAGUGGAGUGGACUUUUGACGAUCUCCAUCAUAACGCUGUGAGGCAUGGGGCCUUCCUCAGGUCUUCGCCUUAAUACAGAAAUUUAAAGGGACAUCUAAUUGAAGCUGAUGUCAUUCCUAACCAAGUGACUGCCGUUGUUAGCCCAGACAGCAGGCCUACUGUUGGUGCUCCACCAGAGAGAGAGAGAGAGAGAGAGAGAGAGGGGGACAUCAUCUAAUCCUUGCAACUCUUUCAACAUGACCAGGGCAACGCAGUCAAUCGCCAGUCACCGGCUCCCUCUGUGAAAGUCAGAGGAACGGACGACUACAAAAUGGACAAGAACAUUGCUCGGGCUAUUUAUGGUUCUUCUGUCGUCAAUAAUAUCAAUCUAAUAUCAAAUUACAACAUUGGGGUGUCCAUGAAUAUGCCUGUCCCCACCAUGUCUACUCUGGAUGGGUUCGCCGACAUGCUCCAGGAUGAGGCUCGGGCGGUCUGCUUCUAGUCCCACGAGGUUGUGAUAUUUGCUUUGGUGCGGUUCGAGCUCGUGGUGGACCUUCAUGACAAUGGACAGGACAGUCACAUAUGGUGGCGGUGGCCACUGCCCAGUGGGAAAGCCGCCAGCCCAGGUCCCCAUUGGUUGGCAAAGAAAGAUCCACCAUGGAGGUGUUGUCUACAUCAGGUAGGACUCGGCCAUUCUCUACGGAACACAAUGCCUGUUCGCUGUUGAUUUGAUGAGUGUCAGUGUGUCUUCUCAGGCAUUUGUGUUCGAACAAUUUGAUCAGGAACCUACUGGUUUGAUCUGGUCCUAUGAUAUAUGUUUCGGGGAUGAACCAAAACCCACACUUGCGAAAUGGCUUUUCGAAAUUGGGGAAAGGAUCUGCUAGACAUUAAGAUAUGAAAUUAUCGGUGAAUAACACUGUAUGAUCCUGAACACUGAACGUAUAUUUCUGUGCAGUAUUCUUCUUCUUGAGGCACAGAACUGCAUGGAUCUUCCAUCAUCGACUUGGCUUUGUGUCUCUCUUUAUGUCAAAUGUAGAGUAAGCCUCCUCAAAAAGCACCCCUAGCUUAGCCUAGUAAUUUGGAACCUGAUGAUGUGAUGAUGCACC
ensembl:lncRNA